rnacentral:sRNA from 1 species
GACUCUGUUGCCUCCGGGGCGACCCUGCCUUCGGGCGGGGGCUCCGGGUGGACACUUCAAACUCUUGCGUAACUUUGCAGUCUGAGUAAACUUAAUUAAUAAAUUAAAACUUUUAACAACGGAUCUCUUGGUUCUGGCAUCGAUGAAGAACGCAGCGAAAUGCGAUAAGUAAUGUGAAUUGCAGAAUUCAGUGAAUCAUCGAAUCUUUGAACGCACAUUGCGCCCCCUGGUAUUCCGGGGGGCAUGCCUGUUCGAGCGUCAUUUCACCACUCAAGCCUCGCUUGGUAUUGGGCAACGCGGUCCGCCGCGUGCCUCAAAUCGACCGGCUGGGUCUUCUGUCCCCUAAGCGUUGUGGAAACUAUUCGCUAAAGGGUGCUCGGGAGGCUACGCCGUAAAACAAACCCA